CAGUCGAACGGACUUAAUCGAUUCUUUUAGAUUCGAAGCGGUUAGUGGCGGACCGGUGAGUAACACGUAAGCAACCUGCCUGUUAGAGGGGAAUAACAGUGAGAAAUCACUGCUAAAACCGCAUAUGCCGUGAACAUCGCAUGAUGAAAACGGGAAAAGAGCAAUCUGCUAAUAGAUGGGCUUGCGUCUGAUUAGCUAGUUGGUGUGGUAAAGGCAUACCAAGGCAACGAUCAGUAGCCGGACUGAGAGGUUGAACGGCCACAUUGGGACUGAGAUACGGCCCAGACUCCUACGGGAGGCAGCAGUCGGGAAUAUUGCGCAAUGGAGGAAACUCUGACGCAGUGACGCCGCGUAUGGGAAGAAGGUUUUCGGAUUGUAAACCAUUUUAGACAAGGAAGAAACAAGACAGUACUUGUAGAACAAGCUCCGGCUAACUACGUGCCAGCAGCCGCGGUAAUACGUAGGGAGCAAGCGUUGUCCGGAUUUAUUGGGUGUAAAGGGUGCGUAGACGGGAAGGUAAGUUAGUUGUGAAAUCCCUCGGCUCAACUGAGGAACUGCGACUAAAACUGCUUUUCUUGAGUACUGGAGAGGAAAGUGGAAUUCCUAGUGUAGCGGUGAAAUGCGUAGAUAUUAGGAGGAACACCAGUGGCGAAGGCGACUUUCUGGACAGUAACUGACGUUGAGGCACGAAAGUGUGGGGA
rnacentral:rRNA from 1 species